UGCAACCUGAGCUCAG
rnacentral:rRNA from 1 species